rnacentral:rRNA from 1 species
CUUAAAUGUAGUCUGACAGGCGUGGAAACAUGCUUUUCUUCGGACAGAUUACAAGGUGCUGCAUGGUUGUCGUCAGCUCGUGCCGUGAGGUGUCAGGUUAAGUCCUAUAACGAGCGCAACCCCUGUUGUUAGUUGCCAGCGAGUAAUGUCGGGAACUCUAGCAAGACUGCCGGUGCAAACCGUGAGGAAGGUGGGGAUGACGUCAAAUCAUCACGGCCCUUACGUCCUGGGCCACACACGUGCUACAAUGGCCAGUACAGAGAGCAGCCACUUGGCGACAAGGAGCGAAUCUAUAAAGCUGGUCACAGUUCGGAUUGGAGUCUGCAACUCGACUCUAUGAAGCUGGAAUCGCUAGUAAUCGGAUAUCAGCCAUGAUCCGGUGAAUACGUUCCCGGGCCUUGUACACACCGCCCGUCAAGCCAUGGAAGCUGGGGGUACCUGAAGUCGGUGACCGCAAGGAGCUGCCUAGGGUAAAACUAGUAACUGGGGCUAAGUCGUAACAAGGUAAGCGUAGUGCU